rnacentral:rRNA from 1 species
UACGUAGGUGACAAGCGGUGUCCGGAUUUACUGGGCGUAAAGAGCGCGCAGGCGGUCGAUCAAGUCGAGUGUGAAAGCCCCCGGCUCAACUGGGGAGGGUCAUUCGAUACUGAUCGACUCGAAGGCAGGAGAGGGUAGUGGAAUUCCCGGUGUAGUGGUGAAAUGCGUAGAUAUCGGGAGGAACACCAGUGGCGAAGGCGACUACCUGGCCUGUUCUUGACGCUGAGGCGCGAAAGCUAGGGGAGCAAACGGG